UAGUCUGUUACUAGCUGAUGGCCACUCGUAGGCUAAAGGCUAGACCUACCAGACCGCAGCUGCCUGGUCUGUUACUAGCUGAUGUCUGCUUGUAGGCAAAAGACUAGACCUACCAGACAGCAGCUGCCUAGUCUGUUACUAGCUGAUGUCUGCUUGCUGUCCUCAGUCCACUUGUUGUCUGUCCUCUGACAGCCAGCUAACGUCUUGCCGAACAUCAAGCCUCUGAAGGCUGUUGUCUUUUGUCCACAGGUUUGUUGACGUUUCAAGGAAAGUGUGAAAGUGAAACAUCCAAAAACAAAGUCAUUAACAUAUUUUCAGCUUCAAACUGUCAUGUAAUUUUUUUUUUCAUGUCAUCGAUUUUCCAUUUGUUCAUAUCUGUUGAUCUUUUCUUCAUAUGAGUUUUAAAUACCAACAUUUGACACAGCAGAAACAACUUCAGGCCUUGUUUUGUUUUUAAGAAAUAAAUGAAUCAAACAUCAUGUAACUGAGACCAAAAUAAUGGACAGCAGUGAAGACAAACUGGUCUUCUGCAAAGCUCUAGUGACACCUAGUGGCCAAGAAGACAAACAGCAGCUUUAUUGUGGGAAAUAAUGAAAAAAAAAAAACCUCUGUUGGAAAAC